CCGGUAAGGUGAUAUGAACCGUUAUAACCGGCGAUACCCGAAUGGGGAAACCCAGUGUGACUCGUCACACUAUCAUUAACUGAAUCCAUAGGUUAAUGAGGCGAACCGGGGGAACUGAAACAUCUAAGUACCCCGAGGAAAAGAAAUCAACCGAGAUUCCCCCAGUAGCGGCGAGCGAACGGGGAGGAGCCCAGAGCCUGAAUCAGCAUGUGUGUUAGUGGAAGCGUCUGGAAAGGCGCGCGAUACAGGGUGACAGCCCCGUACACAAAAGCGCAUGUGCUGUGAGCUCGAUGAGUAGGGCGGGACACGUGGUAUCCUGUCUGAAUAUGGGGGGACCAUCCUCCAAGGCUAAAUACUCCUGACUGACCGAUAGUGAACCAGUACCGUGAGGGAAAGGCGAAAAGAACCCCGGCGAGGGGAGUGAAAAAGAACCUGAAACCGUGUACGUACAAGCAGUGGGAGCACCCUUUGGGUGUGACUGCGUACCUUUUGUAUAAUGGGUCAGCGACUUAUAUUCUGUAGCAAGGUUAACCGAAUAGGGGAGCCGGAGGGAAACCGAGUCUUAACCGGGCGUUAAGUUGCAGGGUAUAGACCCGAAACCCGGUGAUCUAGCCAUGGGCAGGUUGAAGGUUGGGUAACACUAACUGGAGGACCGAACCGACUAAUGUUGAAAAAUUAGCGGAUGACCUGUGGCUGGGGGUGAAAGGCCAAUCAAACCGGGAGAUAGCUGGUUCUCCCCGAAAGCUAUUUAGGUAGCGCCUCGUGAAUUCAUCUCCGGGGGUAGAGCACUGUUUCGGCUAGGGGGCCAUCCCGGCUUACCAACCCGAUGCAAACUGCGAAUACCGGAGAAUGUUAUCACGGGAGACACACGGCGGGUGCUAACGUCCGUCGUGAAGAGGGAAACAACCCAGACCGCCAGCUAAGGUCCCAAAGUCAUGGUUAAGUGGGAAACGAUGUGGGAAGGCCCAGACAGCCAGGAUGUUGGCUUAGAAGCAGCCAUCAUUUAAAGAAAGCGUAAUAGCUCACUGGUCGAGUCGGCCUGCGCGGAAGAUGUAACGGGGCUAAACCAUGCACCGAAGCUGCGGCAGCGACACUGUGUGUUGUUGGGUAGGGGAGCGUUCUGUAAGCCUGUGAAGGUGUGUCGUGAGGCAUGCUGGAGGUAUCAGAAGUGCGAAUGCUGACAUAAGUAACGAUAAAGCGGGUGAAAAGCCCGCUCGCCGGAAGACCAAGGGUUCCUGUCCAACGUUAAUCGGGGCAGGGUGAGUCGACCCCUAAGGCGAGGCCGAAAGGCGUAGUCGAUGGGAAACGGGUUAAUAUUCCCGUACUUGGUGUUACUGCGAAGGGGGGACGGAGAAGGCUAUGUUGGCCGGGCGACGGUUGUCCCGGUUUAAGCGUGUAGGUGUGUGUUCCAGGUAAAUCCGGUUCACUUUAACACUGAGGCGUGACGACGAGGCACUACGGUGCUGAAGCAACAAAUGCCCUGCUUCCAGGAAAAGCCUCUAAGCAUCAGGUAACAUCAAAUCGUACCCCAAACCGACACAGGUGGUCAGGUAGAGAAUACCAAGGCGCUUGAGAGAACUCGGGUGAAGGAACUAGGCAAAAUGGUGCCGUAACUUCGGGAGAAGGCACGCUGACACGUAGGUGAAGUGAUUUACUCAUGGAGCUGAAGUCAGUCGAAGAUACCAGCUGGCUGCAACUGUUUAUUAAAAACACAGCACUGUGCAAACACGAAAGUGGACGUAUACGGUGUGACGCCUGCCCGGUGCCGGAAGGUUAAUUGAUGGGGUCAGCGCAAGCGAAGCUCCUGAUCGAAGCCCCGGUAAACGGCGGCCGUAACUAUAACGGUCCUAAGGUAGCGAAAUUCCUUGUCGGGUAAGUUCCGACCUGCACGAAUGGCGUAAUGAUGGCCAGGCUGUCUCCACCCGAGACUCAGUGAAAUUGAACUCGCUGUGAAGAUGCAGUGUACCCGCGGCAAGACGGAAAGACCCCGUGAACCUUUACUAUAGCUUGACACUGAACAUUGAGCCUUGAUGUGUAGGAUAGGUGGGAGGCUUUGAAGUGUGGACGCCAGUCUGCAUGGAGCCGACCUUGAAAUACCACCCUUUAAUGUUUGAUGUUCUAACGUGGACCCGUUACCCGGGUUGCGGACAGUGUCUGGUGGGUAGUUUGACUGGGGCGGUCUCCUCCUAAAGAGUAACGGAGGAGCACGAAGGUUGGCUAAUCCUGGUCGGACAUCAGGAGGUUAGUGCAAUGGCAUAAGCCAGCUUGACUGCGAGCGUGACGGCGCGAGCAGGUGCGAAAGCAGGUCAUAGUGAUCCGGUGGUUCUGAAUGGAAGGGCCAUCGCUCAACGGAUAAAAGGUACUCCGGGGAUAACAGGCUGAUACCGCCCAAGAGUUCAUAUCGACGGCGGUGUUUGGCACCUCGAUGUCGGCUCAUCACAUCCUGGGGCUGAAGUAGGUCCCAAGGGUAUGGCUGUUCGCCAUUUAAAGUGGUACGCGAGCUGGGUUUAGAACGUCGUGAGACAGUUCGGUCCCUAUCUGCCGUGGGCGCUGGAGAACUGAGGGGGGCUGCUCCUAGUACGAGAGGACCGGAGUGGACGCAUCACUGGUGUUCGGGUUGUCAUGCCAAUGGCACUGCCCGGUAGCUAAAUGCGGAAGAGAUAAGUGCUGAAAGCAUCUAAGCACGAAACUUGCCCCGA
rnacentral:rRNA from 1 species